CGGCAAUUGCAAUACAGUGGUAUUUGUGUAUCCGAACAUACGAAAGCUUCUACAAGGUGCGGAUCCAUAAGGAAGAUAUUAGGAAACAUCUAAUUGAAGCUUGAAGAACCAAAAUGAGGAAGGCAGAAUUAGGAAAGACCCUGUCCGGUGACGCCUCCCCUUCUGGUUUCCAUCUGUGCCCCCUCUCAGGAGCCGCGGGAACACAAGCCUCGAGCAGGCAAAGUCUCUUUGGAUUUGAAAUACAAAACCGUUAAGUGAGCUCCGACCAGGUCGCCUCCCAGCUGUCGCCUGCUUUCUCUAAAGCAGUGAUCUGGCAGCUGUUUGGAGAGUCUGAACGCGUUAACAGUUUUUGUUUUUCAGCGCAUCCGUGUGCUAUCUUCUAAUUGGCCAGAAAAGCCAUUAAUGUGAUGAAAAUUCUGAAUGAUCUGUUUUGCUAGAAAAGCUUUUCACUCCACUUUUAGAAUCCAACCACUUGAUGAUUCGAAAUCACCGCAAUGCCAUGGAAUGUAAAAACUGCUCUCGCCACGUCUAGAGACCGAUGCCUCUUCCUCCGCUGGGAACAUGGUUCAUCUCCACUCUCCGAUUUCACGGUUUUAUUUGCCCUCUGGGACGCGCUGACAUUGUUCUAAGCACAUUUUCUAAGUGAUUGUGUGAGUGUGGGUGUGUUUUGUUGGACUUGAAGGGAGUCUAAUUUCUAGAAGUUCCUUUCAGGAGUCUGCCUUUACUGCAAAGUUGAUGUAUUCGAAAACACAGUAACUCUUAAUGGCAACAGAAUUUGUCACCUAAUUAAGUGCAAUUCGGUCA
rnacentral:lncRNA from 1 species